CACGGCCAUAUCACGUUGGAACACCGGUUCUCGUACGAUCAUCGAAGUUAAGAAAUGUCGAGCCUGCUCAGUACCUAGAUGGGUGACCGGUUGGAAAUACUAGGUGCUGUAAG
rnacentral:rRNA from 1 species